AGUGAACGCUGGCGGUAGGCCUAACACAUGCAAGUCGAACGGCAGCACAGUAAGAGCUUGCUCUUACGGGUGGCGAGUGGCGGACGGGUGAGGAAUACAUCGGAAUCUACUUUUUCGUGGGGGAUAACGUAGGGAAACUUACGCUAAUACCGCAUACGACCUACGGGUGAAAGCAGGGGAUCUUCGGACCUUGCGCGAUUGAAUGAGCCGAUGCCGGAUUAGCUAGUUGGCGGGGUAAAGGCCCACCAAGGCGACGAUCCGUAGCUGGUCUGAGAGGAUGAUCCGCCACACUGGAACUGAGACACGGUCCAGACUCCUACGGGAGGCAGCAGUGGGGAAUAUUGGACAAUGGGCGCAAGCCUGAUCCAGCCAUACCGCGUGAGUGAAGAAGGCCUUCGGGUUGUAAAGCCCUUUUGUUGGGAAAGAAAAGCAGCAGGUUAAUACCCCGCUGUUCUGACGGUACCCAAAGAAUAAGCACCGGCUAACUUCGUG
rnacentral:rRNA from 1 species